GCUGUAGCUCAAUGUUAGAGCUUCUGUGUAGCAUGGAGAAGGUCCUAGGUUCGAUCCCUGUCAUCUCCU
rnacentral:tRNA from 1 species